rnacentral:rRNA from 1 species
AACGAACGCUGGCGGCAGGCCUAACACAUGCAAGUCGAACGCCCCUUUCGGGGGGAGUGGCAGACGGGUGAGUAACACGUGGGAACGUGCCUUCUGGUUUGGGAUAACCCAGGGAAACUUGGGCUAAUACCGAAUACGCCCCGGACUUGAUCCGGGGGAAAGAUUUAUUGCCGGAAGAUCGGCCCGCGUCUGAUUAGCUAGUUGGUGAGGUAAUGGCUCACCAAGGCGACGAUCAGUAGCUGGUCUGAGAGGAUGAUCAGCCACACUGGGACUGAGACACGGCCCAGACUCCUACGGGAGGCAGCAGUGGGGAAUAUUGGACAAUGGGCGCAAGCCUGAUCCAGCCAUGCCGCGUGAGUGAUGAAGGCCCUAGGGUUGUAAAGCUCUUUCGCACGCGACGAUAAUGACGGUAGCGUGAGAAGAAGCCCCGGCUAACUUCGUGCCAGCCGCCGCCGUAAAAC